AACUUCAAGAUAAGAUUUCCCACCGUAAGGGUAAGAUCCCAGGAAGACUACCUGGUUGAUAGGUCAAAGGUGUAAGUACAGCAAUGUAUGUAGCUUAUUGAUACUAAUAGAUCGAGGACUUGACCAA
rnacentral:rRNA from 1 species